GUAGGUGAACCUGCGGAAGGAUCAUUAACAAAUCAUUGUAGCGGGGGAGGGGAGAAGGGAGGAGUGGUAAGACACUUCUCCUGGAUUAUUAUGGCCCCUCCUUGCUCACAUAAACCCGAACCUGUGCAGCAAUGCCAGGCGAGGUGUAGGGCCCUCGGGUCCUGCGGUGAAAGACGAUGCAUAAUCGUCCGGAUCCACAUAGACGCUUUUUUAGUUUGACAGUAUUAGUUGACACAAUCAAAAUGACAAC
rnacentral:misc_RNA from 1 species